GACGAACGCUGGCGGCGUGCUUAACACAUGCAAGUCGAGCGGUAAGGCCCUUUCGGGGGUACACGAGCGGCGAACGGGUGAGUAACACGUGGUGACCUGCCUCAGCUCUGGGAUAAGCCUGGGAAACCGGGUCUAAUACUGGAUAUGACUCCAUGACGCAUGUUGUGGGGUGGAAAGCCUUGUGCGGCUGAGGAUGGGCCCGCGGCCUAUCAGCUUGUUGGUGGGGUGAUGGCCUACCAAGGCGACGACGGUAGCCGG
rnacentral:rRNA from 1 species